AUUAGACGAAUCAUCUGGAAAGAUGAAUCAAAGAAGGUAAUAAUCCUGUAGUCGAAAAUGUUGUCUCUCUUGAGUGGAUCCUGAGUACGACGGAGCACGUGAAAUUCCGUCGGAAUCUGGGAGGACCAUCUCCUAAGGCUAAAUACUCUCUAGUGACCGAUAGUGAACCAGUACCGUGAGGGAAAGGUGAAAAGCACCCCGGAAGGGGAGUGAAAUAGAACCUGAAACCGUGUGCUUACAAGUAGUCAGAGCCCGUUAAUGGGUGAUGGCGUGCCUUUUGUAGAAUGAACCGGCGAGUUACGAUUUGAUGCAAGGUUAAGCAGUAAAUGUGGAGCCGUAGCGAAAGCGAGUCUGAAUAGGGCGUUUAGUAUUUGGUCGUAGACCCGAAACCAGGUGAUCUACCCUUGGUCAGGUUGAAGUUCAGGUAACACUGAAUGGAGGACCGAACCGACUUACGUUGAAAAGUGAGCGGAUGAACUGAGGGUAGCGGAGAAAUUCCAAUCGAACCUGGAGAUAGCUGGUUCUCUCCGAAAUAGCUUUAGGGCUAGCCUCAAGUGAUGAUUAUUGGAGGUAGAGCACUGUUUGGACGAGGGGCCCCUCUCGGGUUACCGAAUUCAGACAAACUCCGAAUGCCAAUUAAUUUAACUUGGGAGUCAGAACAUGGGUGAUAAGGUCCGUGUUCGAAAGGGAAACAGCCCAGACCACCAGCUAAGGUCCCAAAAUAUAUGUUAAGUGGAAAAGGAUGUGGCGUUGCCCAGACAACUAGGAUGUUGGCUUAGAAGCAGCCAUCAUUUAAAGAGUGCGUAAUAGCUCACUAGUCGAGUGACACUGCGCCGAAAAUGUACCGGGGCUAAACAUAUUACCGAAGCUGUGGAUUGUCCUUUGGACAAUGGUAGGAGAGCGUUCUAAGGGCGUUGAAGCAUGAUCGUAAGGACAUGUGGAGCGCUUAGAAGUGAGAAUGCCGGUGUGAGUAGCGAAAGACGGGUGAGAAUCCCGUCCACCGAUUGACUAAGGUUUCCAGAGGAAGGCUCGUCCGCUCUGGGUUAGUCGGGUCCUAAGCUGAGGCCGACAGGCGUAGGCGAUGGAUAACAGGUUGAUAUUCCUGUACCACCUAUAAUCGUUUUAAUCGAUGGGGGGACGCAGUAGGAUAGGCGAAGCGUGCGAUUGGAUUGCACGUCUAAGCAGUAAGGCUGAGUAUUAGGCAAAUCCGGUACUCGUUAAGGCUGAGCUGUGAUGGGGAGAAGACAUUGAGUCUUCGAGUCGUUGAUUUCACACUGCCGAGAAAAGCCUCUAGAUAGAAAAUAGGUGCCCGUACCGCAAACCGACACAGGUAGUCAAGAUGAGAAUUCUAAGGUGAGCGAGCGAACUCUCGUUAAGGAACUCGGCAAAAUGACCCCGUAACUUCGGGAGAAGGGGUGCUCUUUAGGGUUAACGCCCAGAAGAGCCGCAGUGAAUAGGCCCAAGCGACUGUUUAUCAAAAACACAGGUCUCUGCUAAACCGUAAGGUGAUGUAUAGGGGCUGACGCCUGCCCGGUGCUGGAAGGUUAAGAGGAGUGGUUAGCUUCUGCGAAGCUACGAAUCGAAGCCCCAGUAAACGGCGGCCGUAACUAUAACGGUCCUAAGGUAGCGAAAUUCCUUGUCGGGUAAGUUCCGACCCGCACGAAAGGCGUAACGAUUUGGGCACUGUCUCAACGAGAGACUCGGUGAAAUCAUAGUACCUGUGAAGAUGCAGGUUACCCGCGACAGGACGGAAAGACCCCGUGGAGCUUUACUGUAGCCUGAUAUUGAAAUUCGGCACAGCUUGUACAGGAUAGGUAGGAGCCUUUGAAACGUGAGCGCUAGCUUACGUGGAGGCGCUG
rnacentral:rRNA from 1 species